ACUAGUGGAACUACUUGGAAAGGAAAAGGGACCUGGAUGAAGAAAUGCCAGAUAUAACUAUAUGAAGAUUCAAACAUACCCUUGUAGGUUUUAAUGAAGGAAAAAAAAACUAUAUAUAUAUAUAUAUAUAUAUAUAUUUAAAACAUUAUUGGGGCCAAUUAAUUGACACUGCUGCAAGCUUUUCAUGACUCUAUAUCAGCUACAUAAUGGCAG
rnacentral:lncRNA from 1 species